UACGAAGGGGGCUAGCGUUGCUCGGAAUCACUGGGCGUAAAGGGUGCGUAGGCGGGUCUUUUAAGUCAGGGGUGAAAUCCUGGAGCUCAACUCCAGAACUGCCUUUGAUACUGGUAGGCUCGAGGGAGGUAGGGGUAUGUGGAACUUCUGGUGGAGCGGUGAAAUGCGUUGAUAUCAGAAGGAACGCCGGUGGCGAAAGCGACGUACUGGACCUCUUCUGACGCUGAGGCGCGAAAGCUAGGGGAGCAAACGGG
rnacentral:rRNA from 1 species